AUAUAGUAUCUGAGGACACAGAUUAUGAGGAAGAUGAAGAGUCACGAUCUGAUGGUGAACUUGAAGGUAAGAAAAUGAAGAAGCAGAAAAAGGAAUCUGUUGAUUCUUUUUAUGGAUAAUAAAAGGGAAAUGACUCUCACAACGCGUCAAUGGGCCCUUCAGUCAAGCAAAGAUUCAGCACCUGGUACAAGUGUCAUUGAGUUUCCAAAUGGAUUGCCCCCUGCCCCAUCAAGAAAGCAAAAGGAGAAACCCUCAGAACUAGAGCAGCAACUAAAGAAAGCGGAGGCUGCUCAGAGACGGCGGAUGCAAGUCGAGAAGGCUGCUCGGGAAUCUGAGGGUGAGGCUAUCAGAAAAAUUCUUGGUCAAGAGUCUAGCAGGGAAAAACGGGAAGAUAAAUUUAAAAAGCGCAAGGGAGAAUUGGCACAGGGGAGGGCUGCCAAUGUUAUGAUGCUUCCAUCUAACACCGUUAGGUUGGUAAUGGGUCCUACUGGGACUGUAUUGAAGUUUUCCGAGGAUAUGGGUCUGCCGUAUAUUUGACUCUAAACCUCACAGGUAUAAUCUCCUCCGUUGUGCAUUGAAAGUUACACAUGACGAUUCAUAUCAGCGUGCUUAA